AACUAUCGGCAAUGGAUCACUUGGCUCCCGCAUCGAUGAAGAACGCAGCGAAAUGCGAUACGUAAUGUGAAUUGCAGAAUUCAGUGAAUCAUCGAAUCUUUGAACGCACCUUGCACUCCUUGGUAUUCCGAGGAGUAUGUCUGUUUGAGUGUCAUGAAACUCUCAACCCCUCUAUUUUGUAAUGAAAUAGACUGUGGGCUUGGAUUAUGGCUGUCUGUCGACUUCAUCGUUGGCUCGGCUGAAAUACACGAGCUACCGAGCUGAUGCAGCGGUUUGACUUGGCGUGAUAAUUAUUUCGCUAAGGACGUUGCAAUCACAAAGCGGUGCUUCAAACCCAAUUUCAUACAUUUUUGACCUCAAAUCAGGCAGGGCUACCCGCUGAACUUAAGCAUAUCAAUAAGCGGAGGCU
rnacentral:misc_RNA from 1 species